AUACUAGAAUAAAUAAAUAUAAAAUAUAAGAAAAAUAAAUUAUAAAUAAAUAUAGUAUAUAAGAAAUAAAAAUAUUACAUUAAAUAUAUAUUGUAAUAUUAUCAUUGAUAUAAAAACAAUAAAUUAGAAUAAAUAAAUAUAUAAAAUCAGAAAAGAUAAACAGUAAGUAAUAUACAAUAUAAAAACUAAAGAGCUAUUUGCAAAAAUGACCUAACACUCAAAGUCAAACGUAAAACUAACCCAUAUUUUUUUUUUUUGGAAUUUUUUUGCCCUAUUCACUCCACAAGUUCAUAUUAUUCACGAAAAUCCAUUAAUUUUUUUUCUUCGGAAAUGACAUUUUUAAUCUCUCAACUUCAAGUAUUUACAAGAUUACUAUUGUCAUCAAUAUACCAACCACCAUGAACAACCAAUUUGAAAUUCUUAAUGCACAUCGAAUCAAUUUACAUUCCUUGUUUCUCAAUUCUUAUGAAUUAAAAACAUUUGUCACUCCUUUAGUAGCAUUUAUAUCGCCUUGGCGCGAGCGUCUGCAGUAUGCAGUUCUCUUAUGGGUUUCAUUCCAGAUGUUGGUGUUGUGUUUUUGUAUCUCUCUUCUUGGUGGCAGGUAGAAUAGAAACUCAUUGUCAUCUUUAUCCCGAUGAAUAUGGAUGUGGCGGGUUUUAAUUUCCCGCUUGUCCCUCGUUUGAAUCAGUCUUUUUUUCUAAUAUUUCUUCCUAUAUGGAGUAAAUUGGAUGAAUAAGUUUCGUUGGUAUUGCAAGGAUCUUCCUCCCAUCGAAUGCUCUUCUCUGCGUAUGGUGCAGUGUGUGUUGUCCUACGGGUUACACUAGAUGCGGUCUUUAAAGAAGCUUAUGAUGUUGUUGUGGUACGAUUUCAUAUGGCUCCUUCUUGUGAUUUGUGUCGCCAUUCUAUCCCUUAUGUUGUUGUUUGUUUGGCUGGCAAUAGUCUUUUUGUAUCCUCUUUUGUUGGAGUGUAAACACAUUUAAAAUUAAUGCAAGUUUAGUUUGAUCAAAAAAAAAAAACAUCUGUCACUUUCUUUCCAUAUUUAUUCAAAAAAAACUCUAGAUUUUAUUUCUCAAAUGUUUAUGGUUCAUAUAGCCAUUGAAGCUUAAAGAUUCUUCGUGGCUUCCACUCAUCGCAGAAAGUCAGAGUCAUGUGCUUACGAUACGUGUCCAGCUUCUCUCAAAACGCAGCAAGGUUGUGGUUAAUAUUUUGGGCUUUGUGUUUAAACAGAUUUUGACCCCGAAAGCGACCAAGCGCGUAUCGUCUUCCUCGGCAUCACAACGAGUUUAGGGUUCAUCCUCCUUUUCUCAGAGUCGACAUCCCAGUCCUGAUAGAGAGAGCCUACUAUCUUCUCUAUAGAAGGCGAAAAAUUUAAGCUUCGUGUUGUUCUUCGAUCUCUGACGAUCUACACCAACAACAGAGUUUCAGGCUAUUGAGUGAGACGAACCGUGAAGAAUAUCCUUCGAUUGUGUCGUUUCUUAACUCUUCGACCCACUCCAAGCACACUUCAUCCCGUAAACAUCCUGCUCAGAAACUUCUAUUUCGCUAGAAUGGCUCUUCAUCAAGUUGAGGUGCGACUUGUCAGGUUUUAGGAAACCAGUAACUUGAAACGAUGUGGUGAGCUUAGAAUUACCACUGGGUGUCACUGAUCAAUUCUUCAACGACCCUGAGCUUCCCAUCCUGAGUCGACAAUAGAAUUGUAUAUGGUUAUUGUAGUAGUUCUUAUUGAAGUAAACAGUAGAAUCAUCACGCCUGUCUGAUGAAGUUAGUUGUUCUGAACUGAUUUCUGGUUUAGUUCAACAUCACUGCAAGAUUGGCUGCUUUUCAUGUAUUGAUAAAAUGCUUCUCAAUGAAUCUCCAAAUCUUACACAUUCUUAUAUAUAUAUAUGAGAUACAAUGAUGAAUUUUUAGCGCCUUUAAAAAAGUUCAGUUUUUAUGUUGUCAGUCUCGCCCUUCUGAACUUUUUCUUUGGCUCUGCUUUUACAAUCGAGAAAAUAGUAAUUCAAUAAUGCAAAUCUAAAUCUGUAAGUAGACUACUAUCUAUCCAUUGCUAGAUUAGUAGUCAGAGGUAAAAAAAUGUAUUAUGAUUCCUUAAGAACUUUCUUUCUGAUAUUGCUGAAGGUUGUCAUCCUUAUUCAUACUGUCAUCACCAUGACUGAGGUCCUGCAUCCAGUUUAUGUCACCAUAAGGUUAGAAUUAAGCUAGGUGUUUCUGGUCUGAGCUUCUGUCACUCUUUUUAUGUUUAGUUGGUUAACUCCAUGAUCUUGAGAGCGGAAAUUUGUGUCAAAUGUUUAUUUGUCUGAAGCCUUCAAUCUUUGUUUUUUUUCUCAGCCAAGCUAUUCUCCGUUCAGGAGACGCUACAGGCUGCUGUUUCUGUUGCGGCCAAGUGUAAGGGACCAGUUUAUCGAAGGGAAAGCUUAAGACGCAGAGUGAGCUUGACUCAGUCAUGGCAAUCUAGGAUGCUGAGGGUUGAGUCGGAUAGACGAGAGGACUAAAAAUCUUUAUGUAAUAAGAAAACCUUAACUAAUAAAACUAGGGCUAAAAAAUAGCAACUCUAAUAAUAAUAUUGCAUUAAGAAAAAAAAAAAGCAAAAGAGGCAAAAGGGUUGAGUCGGAUAGACGAGAGGACUCAGGCGCCUGGGAGAACGCUGAACUUCAUGUUAUAGGUACGGCAAUAAUAGCCGUUAUCCUCUCCGCAUGCAAAAGAGUAAGGCUGUGACAUUGCAAGAGUAAAUUUGAAGCUCUCUUUAGAUCCAUUCUCCUCCGAUGAAGCAAUCUUAUUUCUACUUUCGAAGUUGCAGGUCCUGUAACUCCACAGAUUUGUUUGCAAGUACACAUCAUGUCUUCGGUUUGUCAUAUUGUUGUACUCGAAAACUGCAAAUAAAUCAACAAGAAUUUUAGCCAAAAAAACUUUGUAUAAAAUCAUAUAAAGACACAAGAAAAUAGACAAUAUAUACUUACCAAGAACAUCGCCGACAUGGAAAGUAGUCUUGGAAGCCCAUUCUUCAAGAUCCACCCCGUAGUUCCAUCCACGUGAUCCUCCCACUACGACCUCUCUUGGUGUUGCAAAGACCGGGUUCCUUGAAUCGUUAUCGUCUGAGCCUGACCUCGAAUCGUUAUGUUUUGAUGAGCCUGGCUUCGUUUCAUUAUGGUUAUGGUGCGAUGAGCCUGGCAUUGUAACAUUAUGGUUGUGGUUCGAUGAGCCUGGCUUCGUAGCGUUAUGGUUCGAUGAGCCUGGCUUAGUAACGUUAUGAUUUGAUGAGCCUUCAGGCUUCGUAACGUUAUGGUUCGAUGAGCCUGGCUUCGUAACGUUAUGAUUUGAUGAGCCUUCAGGCUUCGUAACGUUAUGGUUCGAUGAGCCUUCAGGCUUCGUAACGUUAUGGUUCGAUGAGCCUGGCUUCGGAUGGUUUGAGUCUGACCUCCAUCUCCAGCCUGACUGUGUGUCCCACUUCCAACUCCAGUGCGAACCAUCAGGGUUUGUACCCGAACCUGAGGCUGAUCCGCCUGAGCCGUGGGAUUCCCAACCCGAGCCUGAGCCUGAGCCUGAACCGGAGCUCCAACUCCAGCUCCAUGCCUCUGAGCCUGAUGAGAAGACGCAUGCAAAGGCCACAAGGAUUACCAGUAACUUCGUUUGUGAAAAAGACAGCGACAUCUUUUCUCUUCUUUGUACGUGCUUUUGAUUUUGAGCAAUUUGUGAUUUUGUAAUUGGGAUGCUUUCUUCGAGGGUUAUAAGUGUAUGUAUUUAUAAGAAUACCGAGGUCGGCAUCAUUAAACCAAUUCCUAAUAUAUAUUGGAGAAAACAAAAUCCUUUUCCAACAAGGAUCUCAUGUUUCUUCAAACUUUUUUUUUCUUGUUUUUUCUUACGUGAUAUGCUAUAUGAUACGUAUAUUUUAAGUAAUUAAAUGUAAUAAUAUAUAUAUAUUGUUAAACGAUAGAGAUUUUAGAUAUAAUUAUUAAACUAGGUGAUGUGCGGGCAUGAUCAUUUUACUAGUAAUUAGUAAUAUAUGUAUUAUGAUUUAAACAUCAUGAUAACUUAUUCUUUAUAUUCUUAAUCAUUUUAGUUCUCUUCAAUUUUUAUUUCGACUUACGUCUUUUUAAGAAAGCUAUAAAACUAUGAGACCAUAAGAUCAUAAUUACAUAUCAAAUAUUCCACAUAAUAAAGUAAAGUAAGAAUGUGAACUUUUGGUCUCUCUUAAUCUACUUUGUAUUUUUGAACCAUAAACAUGAAUUAACUUACCAAAAAACAUUAAAAAACACAAAAUCCAAAUAAGAACAAAAUAAAUAAAAAGUAAAUAAAAACUAAAGUUUGAUGAUAAUUUUGAA